UGUGAACACGUGCCGGCGUCGAGGAGAAUAAGAAGUGGGCAAGCGGUGGCCGGAGUUGUUGGGCGGAAAGAGCGGGGAGGCGUCCAGGCAGGUCCGUUGGGAAAACUGGAGGCUCAACUUCCAGACGUCGAUGGAAACCGCCCGGCUAGAGUCCGGAAGAGGAGAGUGGAAUUCCUGGUGUAGCGGUGAAAUGCGCAGAUAUCAGGAAGAACACCAAUGGCGAAGGCAGCUCUCUGGGACGGUACUGACGCUGAGACGCGAAAGCGUGGGGAGCGAACAGGAUUAGAUACCCGUGUAGUC
rnacentral:rRNA from 1 species